ensembl:lncRNA
CACAGUUUUCAAAACUCUACACACUUAUCCCAUGACUUUAACCACAACCUGCACAACACUGUGGAUUUACAGCACUUUGUUCAAAUGCUAACACACUGCUGUCAAAACUGUGAACCACACAUUCAAAAUGGAAUAGAUUUCAGCCUUGUGCCUUUCAAACACUGCUGAUUGCAAUUUCAGCUGAAUGGCUAAGCAGGUGUCUUGUUUUAGACUUGUUAGUGAACACACACACAUAUUACAGUAUAUAUAGGUAGAGCUCAGAAAGACUCAUUUUGGAAAUGGAACAAGGAAGAUGGGUUCGUGGAGGGAGAAGGGUGGCAGGGAGAGGGCGGAUGCGUGGAGGAAGACAAAGAAGACAAAGAGCUGUUAUUUCAGAUGAAAUAAGGGCUACACUUAUAGACCAUGUCGUGAACCAUGGUCUCUCAUUGAGAGAGGCAGGGUUGAGGGUACAACCCAAUCUGCAAAGAUCCACAGUGGCAUCUGUAAUGCGAUUUUUCCAUCAUGCAAACAGGACCCAAAGGCUGCCCCCAACAGGGGGAAGAGGAAAAAUAUUUUCAGAUGCGCAGGAAAAUGCUAUUGUUGACAUGGUUGUUGUCAACAAUGCAAUAAAACUGCGGGAGAUUCAAGAUAGAGUGCUGGCUGAUAAUGAUAUAUUUGAAAAUGUUAAUUCUGUCAGCACAACAACUAUUGCUCGAGUCCAAAAGAAACACCAAGUUACAAUGAAACAGUUAUACACUGUACCGUUCGAGAGAAACAGUGAACGGGUAAAAGAGCAAAGAACCAAUAUGUCCAGAGAGUAAUGGAGGUGGAAGCACUGGAAAGACCACAUUCAUUUGUAUUUAUCGAUGAAGCUGGAUUUAACCUUGCCAAAACACGGCGCAGAGGAAGGAAUGUUAUAGGUCAAAGGGCCACUGUGGAGGUUCCAGGCCAAAGGGGGGGAAAUAUCACCAUGUAUGCUGCAAUGGCCAAUGAUGGUUUGCUUCUCAACACACCACUAAUUGGCCCAUACAACACAGAAAGGCUUAUAGCUUUCCUAGAACAGCUCUAUGCUCAGCUAGUGCCAGCAGAACAGGGGGAGCCAGUAAGAAACCCCCAAGUUUUUGUCAUAGUUUGCGAUAACGUUGCUUUUCACCACUCUGCAGCUGUCACAGAUUGGUUUGCAGCACAUCACAGAUUUAUGGUUUUGUACCUGCCUGCAUAUUCACCCUUCAACCCAAUAGAGGAGUUUUUCUCUGCCUGGAGGUGGAAAGUGUUUGGUCACCACCCACAUGACCAAAUGUCUCUUUUGGAAGCCAUGCGUGCCGGAUGUGAGGACACGAGUCCAGAGGACUGCCAGGGAUGUAUAAGGCACUCCAGAUGGUUCUUCCCCAGGUGCAUGGCAAGAGAAAACAUUAUAUGUGAUGUUGAAGAAAACCUGUGGCCUGAUGCUAGAGAGAGGCAGGAUUAGCCCCUCAAUUAUUUGUUCGAAUUACAGUAUGUACUUUUAGUUUCUACCUUUUUUUUCUCAUUACUGUAAUUCCGUAAAUUACUACAGACUAUUGAAGCAAACUGCUAAUUUUCAUUUACCUUAAAGAAUUGUUAUGUUCUAAAAGUUUUAAUAAAUCAUGUGAAAGAAUGUCACUCUUUUCUUUGAAGAAAAUAUUACUUUGUAUGAAGUCACUGAAAUUGUUCAAACUGUAAAGAUGAAAAGUUUGUAUUUUCUGUAUUGGUGUUUGAUGCUAGUGUUUUUACUCUCAGCGUGUUCUGAGUGACAGUGUGUGUUAUCUCAGUGAGGGUUGUGCAUAGUGUUUGGCUGCACUGAGCAUGUUUUGAGCCAUGUGUUAAGAGUUGUGUUGCUUGGAAUGAGUUUUGCAGGUGAUGUGAACUGUUUAGCUCAGGUGACUGUUGGUAGUGCAGACUGUAGUUAGAGUUUUGCACAUGUGACUCCAGUUGUGCCCACUGUCGUUUAGCAAUCGAAAAAAACUGUAAUAC